rnacentral:snRNA from 1 species
AUCACUUCUCAGCCUUUUGGCUAAGAUCAAGUGUAGAAUUUGCUCUUAACUGGUUAAACACAAGGUCUUCCAAGUCGGGUUGCCUUGGUUCAAAUUACACUUCUAUCAUGGAUGAGGUGUGACAAGGGCCAGCACACUAUGACCAACAAGGCAAAUCCC